rnacentral:rRNA from 1 species
AGAGUUUGAUCCUGGCUCAGGAUGAACGCUGGCGGCGUGCUUAACACAUGCAAGUCGAACGAAACACCUUAUUUGAUUUUCUUCGGAACUGAAGAUUUGGUGAUUGAGUGGCGGACGGGUGAGUAACGCGUGGGUAACCUACCCUGUACAGGGGGAUAACAGUCAGAAAUGACUGCUAAUACCGCAUAAGACCACAGCACCGCAUGGUGCAGGGGUAAAAACUCCGGUGGUACAGGAUGGACCCGCGUCUGAUUAGCUGGUUGGUGAGGUAACGGCUCACCAAGGCGACGAUCAGUAGCCGGCUUGAGAGAGUGAACGGCCACAUUGGGACUGAGACACGGCCCAAACUCCUACGGGAGGCAGCAGUGGGGAAUAUUGCACAAUGGGGGAAACCCUGAUGCAGCGACGCCGCGUGAGUGAAGAAGUAUCUCGGUAUGUAAAGCUCUAUCAGCAGGGAAGAAAAUGACGGUACCUGACUAAGAAGCCCCGGCUAACUACGUGCCAGCAGCCGCGGUAAUACGUAGGGGGCAAGCGUUAUCCGGAAUUACUGGGUGUAAAGGGUGCGUAGGUGGUAUGGCAAGUCAGAAGUGAAAACCCAGGGCUUAACUCUGGGACUGCUUUUGAAACUGUCAGACUAGAGUGCAGGAGAGGUAAGCGGAAUUCCUAGUGUAGCGGUGAAAUGCGUAGAUAUUAGGAGGAACAUCAGUGGCGAAGGCGGCUUACUGGACUGAAACUGACACUGAGGCACGAAAGCGUGGGGAGCAAACAGGAUUAGAUACCCUGGUAGUCCACGCCGUAAACG